CGCGCCGCGGUUUCCGGGGGGGGACGGUGCGCAGCUGCACCGCCGGGCCGGCCGGAGCGGGAUGGCGGUGGCACCGUCCGGCCGCUCGGUGCCCCGCCAGGGCCUGGCCAUCGCGCCCGCCUCCGGGCCUCAGGCGGCGGCUGGCAGCCCCGGGACGGCGGCGCGGGGCGUCGGAUGCCGCGGCGCUGCGCGGGCGGGCGAUGCCGAAGCUGCGCGGGGAGGCCUUCUGGAGGGAGACACUGCGGAGCGCCCACUACGUGGUGGCGCCCAUGGUGGACCAGAGCGAGCUGGCCUGGAGGCUGCUGAGCCGCCGGCACGGUGCCCAGCUCUGCUACACGCCGAUGCUACACGCCCAGGUCUUCCUCAGGGACGCCAACUACCGCCGCGAGAACCUCUACGGCGAGGCCUGUCCCGAGGACCGGCCGCUCAUCGUGCAGUUCUGUGCCAAUGACCCUGAAGUGUUUGUCCAAGCAGCACUGUUGGCUCAGGAUUAUUGUGAUGCCAUAGACCUAAAUUUGGGUUGCCCCCAAAUGAUUGCAAAGAGAGGUCACUAUGGAGCAUUUCUGCAAGAGGAGUGGGAUCUUCUUCAGAGAAUGAUUUUACUGGCUAACGAGAAGCUCUCUGUUCCCAUCACAUGCAAAAUCCGCGUUUUCCCAGAAAUUGACAAGACAGUGAAGUAUGCACAGAUGCUGGAGAAAGCUGGCUGCCAGCUGUUGACUGUGCACGGCCGUACUAAAGAACAGAAAGGACCACUUGCUGGUGUGGCAUCUUGGGAGCACAUUCAAGCUGUCAGAAAAGCUGUAAGCAUUCCUGUCUUUGCAAAUGGAAACAUCCAGUGUCUCAGUGAUGUGGAAGAAUGUAUCCGUAAGACAGGAGUGCACGGUGUCAUGAGUGCAGAAGGUAAUCUUCAUAACCCAGCUUUGUUUGAGGGCCGAAACCCAUUGGUGUGGGAGAUGGCUGAGGAGUAUCUGGAGAUAGUGCAGAAGUACCCUUGUCCAUUGUCUUAUGUUAGGGCUCAUCUCUUCAAGCUCUGGCAUCACACGCUUCAAGUUUACCAGCAGCUGCGUGAAGAAUUAGCAAAAGUCAAGACUCUAGAGGGCAUUGUAGAUGUCAACAGGGAGCUGAAACUGCGAUGCCAGGAAGAAAUGGCUAAUCAGAAGGAAGGAGAAAAGCCAAAAGAAGGGUUGCCUUUUUUCCACUGGAUCUGUCAGCCAUACAUCAGGCCAGGGCCAAAGGAGAGAUGUAAGGAGAAUGGAGCCAGUGGGACUGAAAAAGGCGUGCGAGGGAAACGUGCUCUGGAAGAGGAGGAAGAUGGAAAUUCUGAGCUUCUGUCAAAGAAUAAACAAAAAAAGAAGUUAAGAAAUCCAAAUAAAAGCUUUGAUCCAUCUUUAAAACCCAAAUAUGCAAAAUGUGAUCAGUGUGGGAACCCUAAGGGCAGUAAAUGUGUAUUUAACAUGUGCCGAGGAUGCUGUAAGAAACAAGCAUUCAAGGAGACAGCAGACUGUCCAGUUCUUCUGCUUCCAAACCCUUGGGAUGCAUAGUUUCCAGCCUAUGAGGACCCCUUCUUUGUAACUAAGGAAUAAGCUGUUCUGUUUACCAGUGCGGUCAUCUCAUUUCAGAGUAGUCAAAGAGUAACUCAAAACCCAGAGAUCAGUCGGAGAGGAGAUGUAGAUGUGGGGGACACUGCUGUACUGAAGGAGGCUGGUGACAGUGCAGUGUGAAGCUUUGGAAGUGAAUAGUUAAAGAGCUCCUGCCAGGCCUCUGCUUCCCUGGGCCAAAGAACAUGCCAUCUCCAGCUCACCAUCAGCUGUGUGAACUUGUUCCACAGGUUUAUUUUAAGUUCUGGAAAAGUUUUAUUUAAGUAAAAAGCUGCUUACUCAGGGAAUUACCUGCAUUUGAAAUAAAAAGGAUGCAAUUAAAUUUCUCAUGCUGUGUUUUCAA